AUUGAACGCUGGCGGCAGGCCUAACACAUGCAAGUCGAACGAGUGGCGGACGGGUGAGUAAUGUCUGGGAAACUGCCCGAUGGGGGGGGAUAACUACUGGCAAAGGUCGCUAAUACCCCAUACCAUACGCUGAGCCCAGCUCGGAUUAGCUGGUUGGUGGGGUAACGGCUCACCAAGGCGACGAUCCCUAGCUGGUCUGAGAGGAUGACCAGCCACACUGGAACUGAGACACGGUCCAGACUCCUACGGGAGGCAGCAGUGGGGAAUAUUGCACAAUGGGCGCAAGCCUGAUGCGGCCAGGCGGCGUGGAGGAGGAAGGCCUUCGGGUUGUAAAGUACGUUCAUCGGGGAGGCGUUACCCGCAGAAGAAGCACCGGCUAACUCCGUGCCAGCAGCCGCGGUAAUUC
rnacentral:rRNA from 1 species